AGAGAGUUAGAAUCUCUCUCCCCUCAAGCCCUAGGUUUUCGACGAUAGUCUUAAGCACGUCUGAGUUAUUUGGUACCUAACCUUUAAUUAGGGAUGGUUUUGUCAAUCAGGAAAUAAAAGUACCAUACUUAAACCGACACUGGUGGGCUAGAACUUGAAUGUUCGCAGGGG
rfam:Rhizoclosmatium globosum strain JEL800 BCR33scaffold_381, whole genome shotgun sequence.